rnacentral:rRNA from 1 species
GCUCAGAACGAACGCUGGCGGCAGGCUUAACACAUGCAAGUCGAGCGCCCCGCAAGGGGAGCGGCAGACGGGUGAGUAACGCGUGGGAAUCUACCCUUUUCUACGGAAUAACGCAGGGAAACUUGUGCUAAUACCGUAUAAGCCCUUCGGGGGAAAGAUUUAUCGGGAAAGGAUGAGCCCGCGUUGGAUUAGCUAGUUGGUGGGGUAAAGGCCUACCAAGGCGACGAUCCAUAGCUGGUCUGAGAGGAUGAUCAGCCACAUUGGGACUGAGACACGGCCCAAACUCCUACGGGAGGCAGCAGUGGGGAAUAUUGGACAAUGGGCGCAAGCCUGAUCCAGCCAUGCCGCGUGAGUGAUGAAGGCCCUAGGGUUGUAAAGCUCUUUCACCGGUGAAGAUAAU